rnacentral:rRNA from 1 species
UACGGAGGAUCCGAGCGUUAUCCGGAUUUAUCGGGUUUAAAGGGUGCGUAGGUGGCCUGUUAAGUCAGGGGUGAAAGACGGUAGCUCAACUAUCGCAGUGCCCUUGAUACUGAUGGGCUUGAAUGAACUAGAGGUAGGCGGAAUGUGACAAGUAGCGGUGAAAUGCAUAGAUAUGUCACAGAACACCAAUUGCGAAGGCAGCUUACUAUGGUUUUAUUGACACUGAGGCACGAAAGCGUGGGGAUCAAACAGG